AAGAUCUCAGGUAGGAGAGUGAGAGUGAAAAUUGCAAGGCACCUGGAGACCUAGACUUAGUAGUUGUGUGAAAUUACUUCCAUUUCAUUUGACUGGUCAAAGCAAGACAAGGCCAGGGCAGAUUCAAGAGGAGGUGGAAAUGGACUCCAGUUCUUGAUGGGAGAAGCAGCAAAGUCAGGAAGCAAAAGGACAUGAAUAGAAAGAAAAGGGAAGUUUGGGCACAGACACAGACAAGCACACAGGAAAGAUGAGGGGAAGACACAGGAAGAAGACAGCCAUGUGAUUGGAGUGAUGCAUCUACAAGCCAAGGAACACCAAGUAUUGCCAGCAAACACCAAAAGCUAGGAAGAGGCAAAAACUUCCCUUACAGAUUUCAGAGGGAGCAUAACCCUGAUGACACCUUCAUUUUAGAUUUCUAGCCACCAGAAUUGUGAGACAUUGAAUUCCUGUUG
rnacentral:lncRNA from 1 species